UUCAACAUCUUCCUGAACAAAGCAUGCCCUGAUGCCAGAACCAGAGGCAACCUCGUUUACGUGGAUGAUGUGCUGUUGAAAAGCUCAAAUGUGACAGACCACCUCAAAGAAAUCGAUCACGUCCUGAACCAGCUGACAACAGCAGGAGCAAAGAUCGCCCUCCACAAAGGACAAUGGUGCAAAACCAAAGUAAAAUACGUCGGUCUGCUAAUUGGACGGGACGGUAUUGAACCACAGUCCAGUCGCACCCAAGCAAUCCAAAACAUAAAGACACCCACUAACAUUUCUGAGCUACGAAGCUUUCUGGGAGUGUGCAAUUACUCACGACAGUUCAUUGAAAACUACGCUGACAUCGCACGACCACUAACCUCCCUCCUGAGAAAGGACGAACCCUUCAACUGGUCUGAAGCCCAAGACAAGGCUAUGAGCGAGCUCAAGCAACGUCUGUGCGCUGCACAAUGCCUGGCCUACCCAGACCCAGGAAAAGAGUUCUAUCUGGACGCUGGAUUCUCCAAUCACUGCCUCAGUGCAGGCCUGUACCAGCUCCAUGACAAAGACAAGCGAGUGGUCGCUUAUGCCAGUAAAACACUGCUUCCCCCAGAAUGCAAAUACUCAGAUUGCGAAAAAGCUUUGCUUUGCACUGUGUGGGCCAUCCAGCGUUUCUCCAACUACAUUGGAGCUCAGAAGGUUAUCAUUGAAACCUGUCACCAGCCAGUAACCUUCCUCAACAGCCGACGAAUCAGGGAUGGCGUGGUAACCAACGCACGCAUUGCUACUUGGCUAAUGACACUCCAAGGAAAGGACGUCGAAGCAAGAUAUGCCCAAAACCACAGAUCAUAUCUAGGAAACGGGCUAGCAGCCUGCCAGAACUGUUCAACGGACACGCUGCACACAGCAGCAGAACCCAAAGAACCGUUACCGCCACAACUGACAAACCACAGGUACUUCGAGGAGAAUGUGUGUGAAGGAAUGCCCACAGCAUAUGUCGAUGGCUGCUCCUACAAUCAACAGGGCAACUUGAAAGCUGGAGCGGGAGUGGUCUGGCUCAACAAUGACCCGUGCCCGCCGCAACAAUUCAAAUUAGGCCCUCACUCAUCGCAAUAUGCAGAAAUUGCAGCCAUCCUCAUCACCCUACAACUUGCUGCAUCCCACAACAUCAAAGAACUCCUCAUCUGUACCGACUCGAACUACGCCCGUCUAAGCUUCACAUGCCAUCUAGCUGGAUGGAAACAGAAUGGAUUCAAGACAGCUAACAACAAGCCUGUCAAACAUCAGGAACUCUUCCAAGCAUGCGAAGCCAUUGUCACUGAACAUGACAUGAUCGUUUAUUGGAAAAAGGUCCAAGGCCACUCACGUCAACCAGG
rnacentral:lncRNA from 1 species